UACAGAGGGGGCAAGCGUUGUUCGGAAUUACUGGGCGUAAAGGGCGCGUAGGCGGCCUGCUAAGUCGAACGUGAAAUCCCUGGGCUCAACCCAGGAACUGCGUCCGAUACUGGUUGGCUUGAAUCCGGGAGAGGGACGUGGAAUUCCAGGUGUAGCGGUGAAAUGCGUAGAUAUCAGGAGGAACACCGGUGGCGAAAGCGCGAUACUGGGCCACAACUGACGCUGAGGAACGAAAGCCAGGGGAGCGAAAGGG
rnacentral:rRNA from 1 species